AAAUCGGCCCUUUUCAGGGCCACCAAAAAAAUAAAGAAAAAGUUA
rfam:Daphnia pulex DAPPTscaffold_6_Cont425, whole genome shotgun sequence.